GUGUUUGUAGGUGCUGCUGCCGCUGGCUGUGUGGGGGACCCAGCUGUGAGGCCGUGGCCAGGGUGGAGCUCAGGAUGGAGGAGGGUGACCUGGGGAGGAGAGGCCGUGGCCGUGGUGCAGCUCCAGUCCGCCACCUGCUGGUGAUGCAGAGGAUGACGAGAGCCCAGCAGGUAGCGGUCGGCGUCUGAGCGGGGCAAGAAGUCGGAUCAGGCUGUGGACGGCGUGGAGAGCGGGUCGGAGGAGGUGACGCCGAGGCCCUGAUCCGGAGGACCGAUUGAGAGGAGGCGAGCGAGGGCGACUCCAGGCGACGUGAUGCAGCGUUCCUGUCCUAAUAAAAACAUGCACGUGUGUGUUUGUUUUUUCUCUCUGUGUGUCUGUCUGUUUGUUUGUCUGUCUGUGUUAGGUGUAGUUGUGCUAGGCGUGGUUUGGUGGCCACCUGUUU